rnacentral:lncRNA from 11 species
GAUCUCUUACCAUGGAUGUCUGGCAGUAGCAAAGCAACGAGAAAUAAAGAUUUAGGAGUGUGGAGUGAAGUGUAUUAACACUGCAGUCCAUUUCCUUGUCAUAAAGUGUUUAAUACUGAACGGUAGGCUGGCUAAACUGUGGGGGAGAGAGAAAGAGGUACGGGAAUUCAUUGUUAAGGCAUUGCAGCCUUGGUCUCUGCAAGAAAAACACGAAGUGGCGUGAAAGCGUUUGCUGUUUUGCGGUGGUCCUGCAUCCCCAACCCCAGAAAAUGUGGAGAGCUCACUGUAUAAGCUGUCAAGUAUG